UACGUAGGGGGCAAGCGUUGUCCGGAUGUAUUGGGCGUAAAGAGCGUGUAGGCGGCUUUACAGGUCCGUUGUGAAAACUCGAGGCUCAACCUCGAGACGCCGGUGGAAACCGUAAGGCUAGAGUCCGGAAGAGGAGAGUGGAAUUCCUGGUGUAGCGGUGAAAUGCGCAGAUAUCAGGAGGAACACCCGUGGCGAAAGCGGCUCUCUGGGACGGUACUGACGCUGAGACGCGAAAGCGUGGGGAGCGAACAGG
rnacentral:rRNA from 1 species